AAAGGGCUGCGAACCCGCGAGGGGGAGCGAAUCCCAAAAAGCCGCUCUCAGUUCGGAUUGCAGGCUGCAACUCGCCUGCAUGAAGCCGGAAUCGCUAGUAAUCGCGGAUCAGCAUGCCGCGGUGAAUACGUUCCCGGGCCUU
rnacentral:rRNA from 1 species